AAGGAGGCGCCCUCAGAGCGGGGCCCGCGGGGCCGCCCGCAGCAGCCGCGAUCCGCCGCCCUAAACCCGCGCUCCCGUGGGCUGGUCCCGGCCUGACCCCGUGCUUACAGAUACCCUGCCUAAAGAGACAGUAAGAUCCAGUACCUACUGUGUCUUCAGCUGGGGCAAAGCUUGGACAAAAAUCCUGGAAUGUUCCCUUACAUGUACAAACCAAAUCCAGGAGUGCAUCCUUAGAACACGGAAGGUGAGAUCCAGGAAAGAGAACUGCAAGAGUGGAGAGCUCAUGGACAAGGCAGGGCGAGUGGCAGCCACACAGCCCGGGCUCAAACGCUUCUGCCGCUCGCCUUCCCAGACCACCUCGCUGCGAGGAAGCCGCUGUGCUGAAAGCAGAGACUGAGUUAUGGCUGAGGAACAAAGGAAUUGCUUGACAGGUCUCUGUGCUCUCUCCCAGAGUUUGGAACAGUUUCAGGCAAGUGCUUUUGGCAGGCUGACUAAGCUGUACAUGCAUCUAUCCAUGCAAAUGUAGAAUAUGGCUCCCAAGACCUAGAACCAGGGUGUGUGCAUGUGAAGACUGAAUAGAAGGCCCUUCCAUGGAAGUUUACAAAAAUAUAUAGCCAAUACUGUAGCUUAAGAAGUCAGUUUUACUCAUUACAGAGAACCCCAAAAAGUAUUAACUACUUUUCAGACAUUCCAGACAAGGUCACUUGUAACAAAAAAGGUCAAGUUCUCAAAAACAAGGUUUUAAAAGCGGAUCUUUCCUUCAAGUGAACAGGACAUCUGUUUUUACUCUUAACCAUUUAGUCAGUUAAGACAAUUUAUUUAAGAUUUUAUGUGAACAUAUGCAUAAACACAAAUAAGUUUACUUUAAACACAUCUGCACGGAAAAAAAAA